CCUACGGGUGGCAGCAGUGAGGAAUAUUGGUCAAUGUGCGCGAGCCUGAACCAGCAAAGUAGCGUGAAGGAUGACUGCCCUACGGGUUGUAAACUUCUUUUAUAAAUGAAUAAAGUGAGGCACGUGUACCUGUUUGUAUGUAUUUUAUGAAUAAGGAUCGGCUAACUCCGUGCCCGCAGCCGCUGUAAUACGGAGGAUCCGAGCUUUAUCCGGAUUUAUUGGGUUUAAAGGGAGCGUAGAUGGGUUGUUAAGUCAGUUGUGAAAGUUUGCGGCUCAACCGUAAAAGUGCAAUUGCUACUGGCAGCCUUGAGUACAGUUGAGGUAUGCGGAAUUCGUGGUGUAGCGGUGAAAUGCUUAGAUAUCACGAAGAACUCCGAUUGCGAAGGCAGCCUACUAAACUGCCACUGACAUUGAUGCUCGAAAGUGUGGGUAUCAAACAGGAUUAGAUACCCUUGUAGUC
rnacentral:rRNA from 1 species